CUGAAUAUGUGGUAGGUUCUUGUCAAGCAGAGACCAGCAGCUACUUUAUUUAUGUUCGGAGGGCCUGAUAGUUUUGUCUCUGCCGUAAAGAGAUGGAGGAACUGGGUUUGGAAGGUGAAUUUAUUUAUUUUUCUCUGUGGCACGCAAAUCUAAAUUUUUAUAAAGUUGAAUGAAUGUAUUACGCUGUUGCUGUAGUGGCGAUAUCCUUUCUGCUACAACGAGGAAUUUUAUAUCGAGG